rnacentral:misc_RNA from 1 species
AAGUCGUAACAAGGUUUCCGUAGGUGAACCUGCGGAAGGAUCAUUACCAAUUUUAUCGGGGGACUACGGUCCCUGUCUGAACCCUUGUCUUUUGCGUACUAUUUGUUUCCUCGGUGGGCUUUGCCUGCCGAUAGGACACGAUUAAACCCUUUGUAAUUGCAAUCAGCGUCAGAAAAACAUAAUAAUUACAA